rnacentral:rRNA from 1 species
UGGGGAAUUUUGGACAAUGGGCGCAAGCCUGAUCCAGCAAUGCCGCGUGCAGGAUGAAGGCCUUCGGGUUGUAAACUGCUUUUGUACGGAGCGAAAAGGUCUGCCCUAAUACGGUGGGCUCAUGACGGUACCGUAAGAAUAAGCACCGGCUAACUACGUGCCAGCAGCCGCGGUAAUACGUAGGGUGCGAGCGUUAAUCGGAAUUAUUGGGCGUAAAGCGCACGUAGGCGGCUAGACAAGUCGGAUGUGAAAUCCCUCGGCUCAACCAAGGAAGUGCAUCCGAAACUGUCGAGCUUGAGUACGAAAGAGGAUCGCGGAAUUCCCGGUGUAGAGGUGAAAUUCGUAGAUAUCGGGAGGAACACCGAUGGCGAAGGCAAUCCCCUGGGCCUGCACUGACGCUCAUGCACGAAAGCGUGGGGAGCAAACA